UAAAAUACAAGACAUUUUGCAGAUGCUGGAAGUCUCUCUUAGAAUAUUUAGAAGCGGUGGAGCAGCUCUACAACACAAGUCGGAGUUGAUAAAGGUUGCUCAAGAACACCUAGAACUGACGAUGGGGCAGAGGCGUGUAUACAAUUAGAUGAUAGCAGAGUCAAAGGAGCAGGUGAAAGACAUGCAGAUAGGCAUCCACAGAUCAAUGUUAUUUGAAGGUGUGUCUCACACUAUGCUUUUGACUAUGCCCAGCAAGUCCUCUACCAAUCGGACCCGAUGCAAGCCGGGCCAACCUACUUCCUUACACCGAGAAAAUGCAAGAUUUUCGGUAUGUGUUGUACCGGAUUAACCAAACAGGUGAAUUAUCUUGUGGAUGAAGCGCAAAUUAUAAAGAAUUGCUCAUAUUUUGUAGUCAACCUUGUCCACCACUUUUUCGAAAACUGGGGCGUUGGUGAGACUGUGGCAUCGCUCAGAAUAAAAAUCAAUUGAGGAUGGUUUAUCUGAUGUAGCGAAUGAUGACUGGCCGGCACAGAGAAAUUACAAUCAAUUUCAU